GUCCUUUUGAUUAUAAUUUAAGGUCUGGCCUGCCCACUGAAAUUUGAAUGGCCGUGGUAUUUUGACCGUGCUAAGGUAGCAUAAUCAUUAGUUUUUUAAUUAAAAACUGGAAUGAAGGGUUAGAUAAGAAAAUAACUGUCUCUAUUUAAUUUUAUUAGAAUUUUAUUUUUAAGUUAAAAAGCUUAAUUAAUAUUAAAAGACGAGAAGACCCUAUAGAGUUUAAUUUUAAAAUAAAUUUUUUAUUUUAGUAUUUUUUUAUUCAUUUUUUUUUAUAAUUUAAUUGGGGUGAUUAAAAAAUUUAAUUAACUUUUUUUGUAUUUUAACAUUAAUGUAUGAUUUAUUGAUCCAAUUUUUUUGAUUAUAAGAUAAAAUUACCUUAGGGAUAACAGCGUAAUUUUUUUAGAAAGUUCAUAUUGAAAAAAAAGAUUGCGACCUCGAUGUUGGAUUAAAGUUAAUUUUUGGUGUAGAAGCUAAAAUAUUGGGUCUGUUCGACCUUUAAAAUUUUACA
rnacentral:rRNA from 1 species